GACUUAGACCUUGCACAGACUUUCCGUGGAUGCUUUUAUUCCCAUAUAGGGAUGAAUGAGAAGUUGGAUAUCCUUCUUCCUUUUCAGGCUGGAAGAGGUCAGUCCUUUAUGCUGAUUUGCAGCUGCAGGAUUUGCCUUGCAGUUAUGCUCAUCCCAGGACUGCCCCACAAUUGUGCUUCCUAGUUUCCUGCCUCAUAGGUAAGUUUGCAGGCUGGCUCCUAAAAUUGAUGCCCAAACAGGAACUUGAAAGGAAGAAGUUCCAAAGGAAUGAGAAAUACAACAAAAAAGGAGAAUCCUGCAAGGAGAAAUCCAAAGGUCUCUGGCAAAAAUGAAACCUGCUGCCUUGGAGGAAAAACCAAACAAUGCUUGAGAGAUAUGCAGCCUCAUCUGACCAUGAUUCAACUACUGCAAUUACAAAAACAAGAAGAGGAGAUGUGGGAGACCAGGCUACUUGACUAGCCAUGGAGACCAAGGCUUUGUUGACCUUUCCUGUGAACAAUACAGGGGGUAGAAAGUUAUUCCCUCCUUUGUUUGUGUGCAGGAAUGCUGACACUCAUAAUACCCCCAGGGCAGGACAACAGCAGCCUUGGGCUAAACAAAGAAAAUUACAUAUCCAGGUGUAUAGUUGUUAUGCUCCUUGUUAAUCAUUUACAAUUUCUUGAAUCCUGGAUUUUGUGAUUACUACACUGCCCUGUUUUACUAAUAAAAAUGGAC
rnacentral:lncRNA from 1 species